rnacentral:misc_RNA from 1 species
UCCACGCUGUAAACGUUGGGCACUAGGUGUGGCGACCCGAUCAACGGUUGCCGUGCCGAAGCUAACGCAUUAAGUGCCCCGCCUGGGGAGUACGGCCGCAAGGCUAAAACUCAAAGGAAUUGACGGGUCCCCGCACAAGCGGCGGAGCAUGCGGCUUAAUUCGAUGCGACCCGAAGAACCUUACCUGGGUUUGACAUCAUGGGAAAAGCCGUAGAGAUACGGUGUCCGAAAGGGCCCAUGACAGGUGGUGCAUGGCUGUCGUCAGCUCGUGUCGUGAGAUGUUGGGUUAAGUCCCGCAACGAGCGCAACCCUUGUCUUAUGUUACCAGCGAUUCGGUCGGGGACUCAUGGGAGACUGCCGGUGACAAAUCGGAGGAAGGUGGGGAUGACGUAGACCUUGG